rnacentral:rRNA from 1 species
AGCGUUAUCCGGAUUUAUUGGGCGUAAAGCGUUAAAAGGCGGUUCGGAAAGUACCUGGUCAAAUUCUGCGGCUUAACCGUAGAACUGCCGGGUAAACUUCCAAACUUGAGGUCGGAAGAGGCAAGCGGAACUACCGGUGUAGUGGUAAAAUGCGUUCAUAUCGGUAGGAACACCAAAGGCGAAGGCAGCUUGCUGGUACGAAUCUGACGCUAAAUAACGAAAGCGUGGGGAGCGAAUGGGAUUAGAUACCCCAGUAGUCCACGCCCUAAACGAUGAAUACUAGGGAUUGGGAGUUUCGACCCUCUCAGUCUCGUUCAAGCUAACGCGUUAAGUAUUCCGCCUGGGAAGUACGGCCGCAAGGCUA